AAAAGAAACGCAAAAUAAUUGUAAAUAGUUCCCGAAAACAAAAUACCGCAAAUCAAUGCAUUUUUAAUUUAAAUAAGAAAAAGAGAAACAUAUAUUUAACAGAGAUAAUAUUUUAAAAAAUUU